CUAUAGUCAAUUAAACCAGUUAGGUUCUUUAACUUGUGGUGGUCCAGUGUGCAAUGGCUACAAACAGUAGACUCCUUGGUAGCCAUACAGUUUUUAUGGAUUGCCCUAAGGGACCUUGGAGACAGUC
rnacentral:snoRNA from 1 species